rnacentral:misc_RNA from 1 species
AAGUCGUAACAAGGUUUCCGUAGGUGAACCUGCGGAAGGAUCAUUACCAUACCUUCACAACCAAGCCCUGCGCUUUCGAGAGAAUUGCAGGCAAAAACCAUGAGCAAGCGCCGCGCGGUUCCGCGUGGCGUGAGGGAACUGGGCAUGCUGAUAUGAGUGCCCGGUUCUAGCGCCGUUCCCCCAACGACACUCCGGUGCCGGCGGGGAGCUCUGAGAACGGACUCGGUGCUUUCACCGAACCCUGUGCUUGAAAAGGAAUAAAAAUACAGUACAACUGCAAACGGUGGAUCACUCGGCUC